UCAGCCCCUGACGAAGGUGCACUACGCUGGCACCGAAACGCGCGUCGGGUUGAGGGUUCAUUCCUUCACUUUUUGUUUUCACCUCACUGGGCACUUUAUUAUUUCACCACUAUGUGCAGGUAGCCAACAUUCUAAGUAUGGCUCUGCACUUUAGCACGCUUUUAGUAUAACACUAUUUUUUCCUUUUCCUCCUGUCUUAUGUCUACCUAGCCUUGGUGGGACCUUUACAUUUAUUAUUGGAAACAGAGGGUUAUUUUGAUAAUAAUCUAUUCGUAGAUUUUCUGGGAUCGCAAAGAUUUAAUGGGUAGC